GGGUCGAGUCCCGCGGAUCACCGAACACCCGACCAACUGGACCGUCCCGAGGAACGACCCCGUCACGCUCAACUGCGACGCCGAGGGCAGACCCAAUCCUAAAAUCACCUGGUAUAAAGACGGCGCCCCUGUCAAGCCCUCGCCCCACCGGUUCAUCCUACCCACGGGCUCGCUCUUCUUCCUGAGGGUCUCCCAGAGCAAGAAGGAGAACGAUGCCGGGGUGUACUGGUGCGUGGCGAGCAAUAGGCUGGGCAGCGUCAAGUCUGCCAACGCCUCCCUACAGAUUGCUUUUCUCCGUGACGACUUCAGAACGUCACCGACGGGGGCGCGGGUGGUGGCGGGGGAGAGGGCGGUGUUGGAGUGCUCGCCACCCAAAGGUCACCCAGAGCCUCUUGUCUCCUGGACCAAGGACGGCCACACUCUGGCCCUAGACGACAGGGUGUACGUGAAGGAGGGCGGUGGACUGGUCAUGACAGAGACGCUACAGACAGAUGAAGGCAGCUACGUCUGCGUCGCCUCCAACCUCGUGGGCACCAGGACCUCGGCGGCUGCUAUUCUGGCCGUCCAGGUCCGACCAUUCUUCGUGCGCCUCCCGAGUGACGUGACGAGUGUGACGGGGGGAGAGGCGACGCUCCGAUGCCGUGUAGGAGGGUCGCCACGCCCCCACGUCCUCUGGAGACGCCACGACGGACGCAUGCAAGUAGGACGCGCGCGCCUGGAUGAUGACUCAUCCCUCAGGAUCAGCGACCUCACCGUGGAGGAUGCUGGCGUGUAUAUCUGCCAGGCCGAGAACGCCGUAGCCACCGUCGUCGCCAACGCCACCCUCACUGUCUAUGAUCCGCCACAGCUGGUGUCAGGACCAGUGGACACCUCCGUCAUCCUCAACACCACUGUACGUCUCCCCUGUUACGGGAGGGGCACGCCCCUGCCCACGCCCGUCUGGACCCACUCUUCCCUGCCACAGCAGCCUCUGGGCGCGGGGUGGGCGGGGGAGGACGCCCAUGUGGAUGAGGACGGGACACUGGUGGUGACGCCCGUAAGGCAGGCCCAGGGCGGCUCGUGGACCUGCUCCUUGGUGAGUGAGGCGGGCGCCGCCCACGCCCACGCCUGGCUCACUUUGGUCGCCCGCCGUCAUGCCCCACCACCCAUCAUCAGCGUCCCCCCUGCCAACCAGACACUGCCCGCCCGCACCCACGCCAUCCUCCACUGUCGAGCAAAAGGUCCUCCCACGCCCACUCUCACCUGGUACCGGGGGGCGGCGCCCGUCAGGUCAAUCAGUAACAGAAUCUCCAUCAGCAAGGCCGGCGACCUCACCAUCACCAGUCUGCACGAGACUGACAGUGGUCGCUACACCUGCGUGGCCGAUUCGUGGUCGGGGUCGUCGCAGAGGUCAGCGUCGCUGCUGGUGGUAGGUGGGGACGACCCUCAAGCUGCCCGCAGCUUCCGCCGGGCCCCCUCGCCCUCCGCCCUUCCAGCCCCACCCACACGCCCACGCAUCAGCGAUCUCACCAACGCCUCCGUGACGUUGGUGUGGGCGCCGCCACACACCAAUGGGGAGGCACCCCUACUGGGUUACACCCUGGAGUCUUACACAUCCACAGGGGAACACCGAGGGGGUCAGUGGCGGUUGGUGGCGAGAGGAUUAGCCCGCCCCCGCUAUACUGCCCCCCUGGAGGCUGGCCGUCCACAAGUGUUCGUGGUGCGGGCAGAGAACUCGCUGGGGGAGUCACCGCCCUCGCCCUGGUCGCAGGUGGUGAUAGUUGGUGUGGGCGGGGAGGUGGGUGAAGGAGGAGCAAUACACACCCGGGUGGAAACGCCACCUUCCCUGGUGGGUCGUCGUCUCAAUCUCACCGCCCUCAACACCCUCACCUCCUCCUCCAUGAAGGUCACCUGGCAGGUGACUGGUUCUGGCACACGCGUCGAAGGUGUAUACGUCCAUAUGCGACCUCGACGCUCUCUACACGCCCUUCACCUCGCCCCUCAAGUCGAGUCACCUCCCCAUUCCUCUUCCUCAUCCUUUUCCUCCACUUCCUCUUCCUCGGGAGACUACAUUGCCUGGGACACAGUGACGGUGAUGAACGCAGGGGCCUCCAGCUACGUGUUGACCAGCCUGACGCCUAACACGGAGUACGAGGUAUUCCUGGUGCCCUUCGUCAGGACGGAGGAAGGGCUGCCCACCGAGCUCAGGGUCAACACCACCCUCCCUGACGCACCAGCUGGACCGCCGCAGGAGGUUUCCGUUCACCUGGUCAACCUCACCCACGCCUCCCUCACCUGGCGACCACCUGACGCAGACCUCCAGCACGGCUUCAUCACCGGCUACCAGAUCCUAGCGUUCGUCAAUGGAAGUUCCAUCUUCCUCAACAAGACUGUCAAUUCCUCUACUUUCACCUACCAGUUGGCACCCCUCAUCCCAGGUCACAUCUACUCCGUCAGUCUAUCAGCGCAUUCCAAGAUGGGGGAGGGACCAUCCUCUCAACCAAUCAGGCUACAGACAGACCCAGCCUUGCUCAACCCACUAGCCAAUCGCCACGCAGGGUCAGAGGGCGUGGUGCGAGAGGCAUGGUUCAUCGUGCUGGUGGGAGGGGCCAUGUUCUUCCUCUUGAUGGUGUUCGUGGUUCUCCUCUACAUCAGGAGGUUCCACAACAAGGCCUCCAAGCUACCCACACUCAACGUUGUGAAUGCCGUCCCCGACUUGGAUGUUGGCGACAGAACACACCCGGAUUCACAACCUCGGGCCAUGUUGCUUUACGGGGAUUGUUCAGUGACCAAGACGAGCAACUUGGCCAACUUCUAUGGUGGAGAGAACCUGUGGCCCGAGUCUGGCUGGAAACCCUCCGACGGGGACAAACCCGAAGCCAAGGUAGUGAACGGUCGGGGGGCGCAGAACCGCAACCUCCUGGCCUCCCUAGCACCUGAAUACGCUGAGAUCGACUCCCUGGGCACCUUCACCGCCGGUAAGAAGGGCGAGAUGGACGUGAGCGCCGAGGCCUACGCUUCUGCAUCCAUCUUGGCGGCUUGUAACAACAGGAAGAAUAAGCAGGUGUCCGAGAAGUUCCUGUCGCUGCCGCAGUGUGUGCCGCUGUUGAAGGGCUCUCACCAUCAUCUCCAUCACCUGCAGGGACAGUCGCAGAAGCAGCAGCAGCAGCAGCAACAGCAGCAGCAGCAGCAGGACGAGUACAGUUGCAGACUCUCCAAGGACAUGCUCAACAACACCGACAACGAAGAUAAGUCAGUCACGGAGUCUAAGCGUCCAUUCUUCAUCGAGACGUCGUCACCAACGCUGCUAGGGUCGUCGAGCCUGUCGUUCACCAGCACGGGUGGCCCCAGGCUGACGUCCACCACCCUGAGUGGCCACCACCUGGCACGCCACACACCUAGCAAGGGCGGCGCUUCCCCCUACAGUGUCAACCCCUUCACCUCCCAGCCUCACCUUCUCCAUAAGGGUAUAGCGUUGACCCUGCGUGAUCUGGUGCCUCCCCCGCCCCCACAUCCACCGCCAGGCUCACACAGACACAGGGAAUUCUCCAGGACUAACACCCUUGAGGAGUUGCCCUACGCCUGCUACUCCUCCACACGGGUUGCUUCACCUCGGCCCUCCCGCACAGCCAGCCUGGAAGGGGGCGGCUCCCCCUACGGAGGAUCCACCAACACCUACCAGAGCAUCGACGGUCUGACUGACGCCCUUCGCCGGGACGAUGACCGCUGUUGCUCCCAUUCCUGUAGUCAUGGACAGUGUCACUCCCACCACAGCCACGGCCACGGACACUCCCAUGGCCGCUGCAGCACCUGUGGCUCCCGGAACUCGUCGGCGUCUGCUUGUCGUCGCAACAGUGGCCGCACCAGCCGCUGUGGACACGUACGGUCGGGCAGGACCUCGGGAGGAUCGCUACACUCCCUGGCACGACCUUGCUGCCAUGACCCCAACCGUAUCUCUCCCUAUGAGUCCACGGCACCCGCAAUCCCUUCCCACGCUUAUAGACCCAACUUCUACGGCUGGGCUUCUCCCCCAGGCUCUCCGGGGGUGGACGAUGGCAGGAUGGGGCCGCGACGGCAAGUGUCCCUCGAAAGUGAUGCUCUUCUGAGGUCCGACCAGACACAGGUGUAUGCUCCUGGGGGCUCAAUCCGCUCUGACGGCGAGUACUGGUGUAGUCGUGACGCCGCUAGCGUCUACGGGGGCUCAACGCGCUCUGCCGGUGGGGAGACAGGCGGAGGGUCGAGGGCGGGGCCACCGGGAACGUCCCCGGACUCCAGUGCCGUGGAGGGCGUCCCUAGUGACGCCAUAUCCUGCGGCUCCUGCGAGGAAACCGACGCGUCCUUUUACGCUGCAUGCGACAAGCAGACCAAAUUAUAAAUCCAUGUGCUCCUUGAAGCCAGGCUCAGUGCCGGGAACCGUGCCGGGCUGGAGCUGUGUUAUGCCAGUGUAGCGGACGAGGCAUCUAAGAACUCCAGUGUCAGUGAUGAAAACCCCUUAGUGUGUAGCUUUAAGAGUGGUGACACCCGGAAGGGACAAGACGCUGUCUGGCGUGACUCGGGUGAUUUGUGAACAUUGCACUGCCAGUUGCCAAAGCUGAGGUAAUAUAAUUACCCAGAACUGUGCCAUAGAAACUCUAUACGGGCAGCGCUGGAAAGGAUGCGUGACCACAAGGUGAGAAGGACGGCGAUGUUAUUACCUGAAGGACUCUCAGGUGGGCCUCACCUGGCCUGGGCUGGACGAGAGGCACACCUGGACCACAGGAAGAAGCUCAUUAUCGCCGGCCUCGUCACAAUACUCUUAGGGUAGGUGUGUCUGUAGUGGGCAAAAGAGGAUGUAAUCUCCUCUCCCCAGCCGAGCUUUAUCUCCCGCUUGUUAAGAAGGAAAAUGGAAAACUCUGAGGUAUACCAUGAUCUUCCUCGGAUGGAGGGAUGACGAUGUGCUCUCAACUUGUUAUGGAGCGGCGGCUUUAUGCUGUCAGCUGUUGAAUUAUGAGAGGAAAUUUUAAUCCAGUGGAAGCAACCCUCUGCACGCUGAGCCACGGAGGAAACUUCGUUGUCCACAGUAAAAAUUAUUGAGCUGUACCACCAGACGUGACCAUUGUCGUGAGCUUACGACACAGCAACUUCUUUGUGUUAUGCUUUAACGUUCGUAUAGUGAUUUACUUACCGCAUACGGUAAUAUCAUGAAUUUAUAUGGCAAAAGAAAAUAAAGUGAAUAAUAUUGAUAUUAUAAUUGUCCUGCCAUUCAUCAGAAAAUAGGAAUGCUCAUUAUGCCGUCACAACACCGAAAAGGCUUGCUGUGUCGUUAGCUCACAGCUUGCUGAAGGUUAGUAAACUCUCCCGAGGGUGACGCAGCAGCAGGUGUAGCGAGGGGCCCAACAGCUAAGUAAUUACGAAGCCCCACAGGUGACUAUGCAAAUAACCGGAACAGGGUGUUGAGUUGCUGCUGAGCCCAACUCUUGUCUUGUCUUACACUCAACAUAACACAAAAACUACACUUUUGAUGGUAUAUGUGUUUACCAUAUAGAAAGAGCAUUAUUUUUCCUAUACGUAAAGUUUGAUGGACGCCAGGUGAAUGCAUAAUGAUACAGAUAAAUGUUUUUAACAUUUUGACUGAUAUAUGUUGGGGGAAAAUGCACUCAAACCGCUCAAAACAUUCGGGGCUGAUGUUAAACAUUGCUAUGGUGACUUAAACGUUCUUCUGGGGAUGUUUACCUAAAAGAUGGUGUAUGUUAGAAAUUUUAUGUAGAACUAAAGUGAUAUACAACUAGAGGUUUUGUAAUAAGAGUGUAAUCGUCCAAAAGUGUGUUUUUUGUGUGAGUAUCGACGACAGGCAUUAAAAGGGCUCAGUCGGCACCUCCAUACAGAAUGUUUGAAUCAACUCACGCACUGUGUACAUAACUCUUAUUGUGGAUUUGGUUCUAGGAGUUCUGUUACUGCAUGGAUGGAGGUAACUAGAUGUAUUUUGCAAACAAGAUCUUGUGAAAGACUAAAUAUUUUCUCUAUUGGCCAGUUUGUACAUAGUGACUAGUGAUAUAAGGUAUGGAAGCUUACCCACUAUGCGAAUUUUGGGGAUAUGGUAGAUGGCAGACGUCUUCAGCUGGGGUAUAUGGCACUUGACUCGGUCUGUAAUAAUUAGGGUACUCGAAUGAUCAAACUAGGAUGUAGAAAUCUUUUGAUAUUACAGAAUAUAAUUUGAAAAUAAAGCAUUUCUAGUCAUUUGCCGUUGAUAAAGUAUAAUUGAUUAUAAAACUAAUGUUGUUAAGAGCUAGGAAUACCUAAAUCGUAAGCUUGUUUUUAUACAGACUUGUGAAUGUGUUCGUGCGACUCACUAGAGUUCUUGUAAUUCACGUAUACAUAGUAUAUCGAAAAUGUUGCAAAAAUGUCAAUUAUAUGCUCUAAUGCAGGUGUAAAUAUGGGCCAAAAGUCUUUUGUAAACUUGUCAUGUCCUCAACACUGCGUUACAGGGUGUCUAAAAAAGAUUUUCGUUGUUGGCAACCGGAAAUAAUUUUUUCUAGAAAUUCUGUGUACAAAACAAUCCCUCUUAGGUACUUAAUGUGUAAACGUGAUAUGAUAACAGCAGAAAAAACUCGUUUAUUUUGGAACAUUGAGCCGAAUGUAUGAGGUCAAAAACAAUUUCAUACUCCGUGUCUAAAGUUAAACUUGAUCAAAGUCCAACGAUGAUGUCAGUUGUAAGACAUCUUCACGUCUUUUGACUGGGAGUAUGUGGCAGAAACUUUGUCAUAAACAGACGGUUAAGCACGUCUCAUGUUUAUAACCAACAGGCCUAUUACAACCACUUCUGAUCAUGUCAUACACCCGUGGCCAGUUGACAAAUCCAGCCACACCCGUCGACGAAUGUAUGUCAUGUCAGGUCAAGUCAGGUCAGGUCACAUACCAGCAGCAAAUGUGAGGAUUGUGAUGUGUAAAUGAGAGUCAGUUUCUCUGCGUCAGUGUCACAGUGAAGUGAGUGACUCCUGCCUGAGAUCCAGUCAGGAUGUAAAACAGAUUGGAUUUUUUUCUAAUGACGAUUUCUUUCUUUAUGGCAGCGAGAGGAUGAAUUAUUAUGAUGUAACUAGUGUGGGAAGGAAGCCGAUCAUUAUUUUUAUCAAUAAUUAUAAACGUGAAUUAUAUAUAAACCGUAUUUAUUUUGGUAGAUGAAUGAUUAAGGAGCGAAAAAAAAAAAUACCGUUUCGUUAUAUAUUUAUGGUGUGAAAAUAUUCCACAACUCCAAAACAAGUGUCCGAACGCUGUGAAAAAUGUGACUCCCCCUUGACUUGGACUUUGGCAUCAAUAACAUACAAACACCAACAGGAUUUUUGUUUCCCCUAUGGACGAAUUUUUUUUUUUACUUUGCUGUUAUCACAUUUGUUCUUCGUUGCUUCUCUCCCUCGUUACCCUCUCCCCCUUUACCACCACCUGUUUGUUAUUAUGAAUUUCCCGCAGGUGCUCGUUACCCAAAGGUAGUUGGGGUCAAACGAGCCUGCCGCCAGACCUAUCACUUGCUCACACAGAUUCGAACACCACGUAGCUCCCUGACUCUCUCGUUGACAUUUUGUUUUUCUUACAAGUCAUUCAUCCCCGAUUAAGUGUGAAAAGAUGUUUGUAAUGUCUUCCUAUACGCCUCUCUCUCUCUCUCUCUCUCUCUCUCUCUCUCUCUCUCUCUCUCUUACCCUCCAUCCCGACAACUUCUUUCAUCGCCCUUCCCCUUUCCAAUUCUCCUUUUCCUACUGCUCCCCAAAUUAUUUCCCUUCACUCUAUACGACUUUUCCGCUAUCGUUCUCUUUCAAUUUCCCCUUUUUUUUUUCUUUUUAUUCCUCUUUCUUUUUUUUCUGGCCAUCUACUUCUCACUUGUGUUUAUCCAAUGAGAUAAUCCACAUGCAGAGAGAAGAGAGAGAGAGAGAAGAGAGAGAAUGAUUACCAUCUUUACCUCCACCUGUUGAAGCCUUCCUCCGCCACCUGACCAGAUGAUGAAUGACUCCCUCCCACAGGACCCAAAAAAAAAAAUAAAUAAAUAAAAAACCCUUCCCAGAAUCCCUUUCCACCAUUAAGGCAAGAUGUGAAUAACUUUUCCCUUUCCAUUUCAUUCCAGUUCGUGUUUUCAGUAUUUUUGUUUUCAGAGUCAGAAGCUCGUGGACGUAGCGGUGUAAAUAAUGUAAAUAAAAGUAGUCUUACCCCACCCACCCCCCCCUUCCCUUGUCUACCACCUCCCCCCAUACUCCUCCACCAACCUACCUUUCCUUCCCCUAACCUCAUCUAUCCCCCCGCUUCCCACUACCCGUCCUCUCCUACCCUUCCCCUCCUUUGAUCCAACCCUCCCCGUCCCAUAUUCCCACCUCCCUCCUGGCUUCGACGUGUGGCAGUAGAUAUUGCUCCAUUGUUGGGUCGGUUCCUCCACCACCACCUCCCCCAGUAUGUCGAUAUUACCUCUCUUGUCAACAGUCCAGGACCCUGAUUCUCAAAGUUUCGUUCGUAGAUAAAAAAAAAAGACACCUCCCCCCUAACUGAAGAUAAGAUAACACAUCAAGGUCUAUCCAAUAGUGUGCCAGUGUGAUUUAUGCGCCAUUUUGGGCUGGUAACUUCGUGUGUGUGUAUGUGGAAGCUUCAGUAAGGUCAGUUAGACGCGCUCUCACAUAACCAGCUGGAAGGAAGGCCGGGGACAUUUUUUUUUAACUCUCGAAUCUCUGGGAAUCUGGAGCCAGAAUAGUGAACAACUAAACAGUGGGUGAAAUGUGGAUGUAAAUUUGGCGUGUGUGUUUUUUUUUCUGAACUAUGUCUCUAGAGAGGCGUUUUGUAUCUACCCUUUGUAUAUGUAGAAGAGCUUAGGAGACCCUCUCCCAAUAAAUAUACACGGGCGGGGUACGAGGUUUUCACCCUUAUGUCAGCCCUUCAUAGAGGUGUCUGGUGAUAGAUGAAAGACUUUAGAAAAUAUUUAACAGCAACAAUAAUAAUUAAUAAUGUUACCAAUUAAAUUUAUAUGGAAUGUAAAUAGAUACAUACACAGGAGAGGUAAGAAAUGACAUGAAAAUAAGACAGAAAAGAUCAAUGAAGAUAAAUGGUGUCAGGAGGAGAACGGAAUAGAACCCCACAAUAAGCAUGAUGUUGAAACGACAAAUAAAACGAGUCUUGGAGACGCCUGACAAAAGGGUGAGAGUCUGGUACACCGUCUUAAUAGCCUCAUUAGGUGAGGACCAGCUACGGUUUGUACGUCUAGAAUGGUGUUUUGUGAAGGACAGAUAGAUGUAAAUAUACUAUUGUUUACAGUA
rnacentral:misc_RNA from 1 species